UUAAAGUUUUAUUCUAGCUUAAAUGAUUUAUUUAUAUAUAUUUUACAUACAAGAUUUUUAUUAUAAAUUUAAAAUUGUAGUAUUUAAUAUUAAAUAUUAAAGAAAUUUAGAUUUAGUAAUAUAUAAAAGUAUAAACAAAAUUUGUGCCAGCAGUUGCGGUUAUACAAAUUAUGCGAUGAAUUAUUUUAAAAUUGUAUAAAAUUAUUUAUUGUUAAAAAUUUUAAUUAAAUUUAUUAGGUGAAAUUUUAAAUUUAAUUAAAUUUUAUUUAUUCAAGUGAUUUACUAAAUUUAGGAAUAGACUAGGAUUAGAUACCCUAUUAUUAUAAAUGUAAAUUAAAAUUUUAAAUUAUUAAUAGUUAAGUUCUUUAAAAUUAAAGAAUUUGGCGGUAUUUUAAUCUUUUCAGAGGAACCUGUUAAUUUAAAUUGAUAAUCCACGAUUUAAAUUACUUAAUUUAUUAACUUAUAUAUCGUCGUAGUUGAAUUUUUUAAAAGAAAAAAAAUAUUCAUAAGUUAAAAUAUAAAAAUUAAAUCAGAUCAAGAUGUAGUAUAUAAUUAAGAAUUAAUGGGUUACAAUAAAGGUAUUUAUGGUUUGUUUUUUUUAAAAAAAAUAAUAAAUUGGAUUUGAAAGUAAUAUAAUUUAAAUAAAUUAUAUGAUUAAGGCUCUAAAAUAUGCACAUAUCGCCCGUCACUUUCAUUUAAAAUGAAAUAAGUCGUAACAAAGUAGGUGUACUGGAAAGUGUACCUAGUAUUCA
rnacentral:ncRNA from 1 species